GUGCUUGCUUUGGCAGCACAUACACAAAACUGGAAUAAUACAGAGAGAUUGGCAUGGUCCCUGUGCAAGAAGGACAUGCAAAAUUGUAGAAAAUUCCAUAUUUUU
ensembl:snRNA U6 U6 spliceosomal RNA